AUAGGUUGGGAUGAUGAAACGUUAAGUAAGGUUACUGGUUUACUUGGCUACCUUAAUGGCUUCUUGUUUUGUCUCUUGGUACUUGUUUUCCAUAGAAUUCUUGAGCAGUCAUCCAUACUUUAUUCUAUCUUGCAAGACAAGGACACUGACUUUCAUUAUGGAGUGAGCAGGGUUGAGAGAUUCAAGGCCUUUGUUGCUUCUCUGAGAAAUGAUACAGAAUAUUGUCAGGUGUACGACCUGGCUGUUGAGAAAGUGGGACCACCAGUAACCAGGAUUUCCAUUCACAAAGACAUACUGUCAGAGAAAGAAAACGCCAACACAUUGCAUGAUGAGGUAGUAAAGAAGUUCAUUGAAAAACCACGAAGACUUGCUCUCUUAUACAAAUAGGUAUUCAUAUAUGGCUGAUAGCAAGCUGAUGAUGUCUUACGUCCAUGGCAUGUGAGAAUUUUUCCGGGAACUUUUUAAUGCAGGCAAUGAUGAUUGUCAAUUCAGCACGACAAUGAACGGCAUCACAACUUUUGAUAGUUGUUGAUGACAAAUCUGAGCCUUUUUCGGUUCUUUUGUCAAAGUUUCUUUACAAGAUGUACAUAGGUAUCUAUUUAUGUAUGUGGUGUUGAGAAAAUAAAUCACAUAUCUGCAACUA